AUGCUCACUUCAGCAGCACAUAUACUAAAAAUUGGAAUGAUACGGAGAUUAGCAUGGCCCCUGUGCAAGGAUGACACGCAGAUUCCUGAAGCGCUCCAUAUUUUU